rnacentral:rRNA from 1 species
CACGUAGGGGGCAAGCGUUGUCCGGAUUUAUUGGGCGUAAAGAGCUCGUAGGUGGCUCGGUUAGUCGGGUGUGAAAUUCCGAGGCUCAACCUCGGAACGCCACUCGAUACUGCCAUGGCUAGAGUCCGGUAGAGGAGCGUGGAAUUCCUGGUGUAGCGGUGAAAUGCGCAGAUAUCAGGAGGAACACCAGCGGCGAAGGCGGCGCUCUGGGCCGGUACUGACACUGAGGAGCGAAAGCGUGGGGAGCAAACAGG